GAUAAAUCGUUGAACAAGAGGAGUAUCCAUUGUAGUAAGCAAAGAGAAUUGUUGGUUGGUGUGAAACAAUCUUAUGCAUUGGUGAAUGUAGCUUGGGAGAUUGAUGUCUGAACUUAAGUAAGAUGUUACGUGGCCCGCGUUAACGGCAAUAAGGCAUACGUAUGUAUGUAAAUUAAGGUGGUACCACGAUUCAUCGUCCUUUGG
rnacentral:ncRNA from 1 species